rnacentral:rRNA from 1 species
ACACUCCUGCGGGAGGCAGCAGUGGGGAAUAUUGCACAAUGGGCGCAAGCCUGAUGCAGCGACGCCGCGUGGGGGAUGAAGGCCUUCGGGUUGUAAACUCCUUUCGCUAGGGACGAAGCUUUUUUGUGACGGUACCUAGAUAAGAAGCACCGGCUAACUACGUGCCAGCAGCCGCGGUAAUACGUAGGGUGCGAGCGUUGUCCGGAAUUACUGGGCGUAAAGGGCUCGUAGGUGGUUUGUCGCGUCGUCUGUGAAAUUCUGGGGCUUAACUCCGGGCGUGCAGGCGAUACGGGCAUAACUUGAGUGCUGUAGGGGUAACUGGAAUUCCUGGUGUAGCGGUGAAAUGCGCAGAUAUCAGGAGGAACACCGAUGGCGAAGGCAGGUUACUGGGCAGUUACUGACGCUGAGGAGCGAAAGCAUGGGUAGCGAACAGGAUUAGAAACCCGAGUAGUCC